AGGACGAACGCUGGCGGCGUGCUUAACACAUGCAAGUCGAGCGGAAAGGCCCUUCGGGGUACUCGAGCGGCGAACGGGUGAGUAACACGUGAGCAACCUGCCCUUAGCUCCGGGAUAGCUCCGGGAAACCGGAAUUAAUACCGGAUAUGACCUAGGCCGACAUCGGCUGUGGGUGGAAAGUUUUUCGGCUGGGGAUGGACUCGCGGCCUAUCAGCUUGUUGGUGGGGUAAUGGCCUACCAAGGCGACGACGGGUAGCCGGCCUGAGAGGGCGACCGGCCACACUGGGACUGAGACACGGCCCAGACUCCUACGGGAGGCAGCAGUGGGGAAUCUUGCGCAAUGGGCGAAAGCCUGACGCAGCGACGCCGCGUGGGGGAUGAAGGCCUUCGGGUUCGUAAACCCCUUUCAGCAGGGACGAAGCGAAAGUGACGGUACCUGCAGAAGAAGCGCCGGCUAACUACGUGCCAGCAGCCGC
rnacentral:rRNA from 1 species